AAAAAAAAUCUCUACACCCUAAUUGGCUAUGCGUUUUCCUCUUCGUCUCUCUUGCUUUCAUAAGAAACAAAUCACCACCCUCCGUUAUUGCCAUCUACCAUUUAGGAACAAUAAUGUAUCAAACCCUCUUCAACAUCUUCUCUCUCUCCAACCUAACUUUAUAAACGGAUGGCGAGAUUGAUUUAAUUUUAACUGGUUUGACUAAGCUACUUUGAUCGAGAAAUUGGCUUGGAUCAUAAUUGGUGAAGAGCCAGAGAGAAGUUAGAUCUCUGUAAUCGUCAGUGUUUUGUUAGACGAUGCCGUUGAGGAUGAAGAUCUAGUCAAUCAAUAUCAAUUCACAUGAACUCGACCGACUGCACCAUGCUGACUUUUGAUGGGCAAAGGUGCCUGCCUCUUUGACUGCCGAAAGCUCUAUCGAGUUAGAUCUUCUCUCUGUUUUUUCUGCCAGCAAAACUCAAUCAGAGAGAGUUUGGUUCAGUACCGUAGUGUCUUUGUUCGUUUAGUUUAUUGGUUUUAGAUGGAUGUCAUUGAUGGUUUCUCCCUCAUGGCACACGAACUGGCUCGAGGAAAUAUAUAACUCAACCACAGAUCAGCUACAAAGCCAUCUACCAAAAGCCCCUUCUCCUUACCUCUGUCUUCCUCUAAUGAGCAUUGCCAAGAUCGCUCAAAUGCUGCUGGCGGGGAAAUGAUUUCUAACUCCAUGGGACCAUGUAGUGACCAUUUGUUUGGAAAUAAAAUGGAACCUAGCUGCUGAUGGAUGUAGUCAUGAGUUCUGCACAAAAUGUGCGUUAGACCUAAGCACCACAAACAUAACAACAUCAAAGACAUCACAAGCCACCCACACCAGGCUCAGUCCCAUGCCCUCUCCGUCGCUACAGCAUUGUCUCUUUCACCAAACUUUCCCAUACAACAACAACAACAAGAACAGAAAUAUCAUCAAGAACAAGUAUGCCGAAUGCAGCCACGGACGUAUACCACAAGUUGUUCCUAAAUAACUCGAAUAAACAGUCCAUGGAAACUCCUUCAGAAGCUUUUGUGGCUUCUACUCUAUACGAAGUUGAAGAGGAUAGAGUUGGUGUACCUCUUUUGAGUGAAAUAUAUGAGGUUCUUUGGAAGCUUGGCUUAAGAUCGAUCCCUCUCUGCUCCCCACUCCUAUGAAUUUUACAAUGUCCGAUUAUUGUUACAAGCAAAAACAAUGUAUAUGCUUAUUAUAUAUAUGUUGAUAAAAAAUUAUGCUUAUUAUAUAUAUGUUCUCGAAAUUGUUACUCCUAAAUCCUAAUGCUAAAAUAAUAAAAUUAAAUAUUUAUAUGA